GGCGGAAGCGCUGGAAGCAAGAUGGCGGCCGCCGAGAGGGUUCACAAAGGCUCUGGUCCAUUAGAGGAAGGAGGUCCCAGAAUAGCUGGGAAAUUACGAGAACAGCCUCACUGCACGAGUUGGUGAAUGCUGUGAUGGCGAUUGUAUGAUGGACGGUGAUGUUGAAACCAGACUGGGGAAUGACCGCCCCAUCCGGAGAGAAAAGCACCAAGGAUUCUCUUUUGUUGAAUUUGAGUUGGCAGAGGAUGUUGCAGCAGCUGUCAACAACAUGUUUGGUCAGAUGAAGACUGGGUGGAGAAGUUUGCUGGGAAGAGGAUAAAGAGGAAGGUGGUUGAGACUUCCCAAAGCAGAAAGCCAGGAGCGCAGCCCAUUUACUGCCUUCUCCAGGAAGCUUUUCUGAAUCCUCCAGUGAGUAAGGGAGAGCCCACUGCUAAAAAAGGCCUAGUCAAAUCCUCAGGUGUACAUGGACAUCAAGAUUGGGAACAAGCCGGCUGGCUGCAUCCAAACCCUCCUGCGUUCCGACGUCGUGCCCAUGACCACAGAGAAUUUUCUCUACAUGUGCACCCAUUUAAAGGACUCGGCUUCAAGGGAAGCAGCUUCCACCGCAUUAUCCCCCAGUUCAUUUGCCAGGGCAGUGAUUUCACAAACCACGGUGGCACCAGGGGUCUGCGCAGGCAUGGCACUAAGUGUCCCAUGGCACAUUUGGCCCUCAUGGAGGCCUCAAAAGGGCAGGACCAGCACCCUCUUCUACGGAGGAAGGAACGGGCACAGCAGGUUGCCCCAGACACCAAGGCAUCAAAAGCCAGGGGAUCCAGAGAAAACACAGACAGCCAAGAGAGAAACUGCGGGAAAAAGCCAAAAGGUUGAGAGCCACACCAUCUAGAAGCUUCCUGCCUGUGGUGCGGCACAGAAACAAGGAGAGUCAGCAAUUACCAGCCAGCCAAGGUCCUGGAAGCUGACGUAGAGCUCGUGCCGACGGCAGACCUGCCGGCCGUGGGAGCCGCGGACGUCAUCUGCAGGGACAGAAGGGGCAAGGUCUUUUCUGGGGUUCCUGCUGUGUGCAGCUACUAUGGGGUACCAGGGUGGGGGAUGCCCUGAUGAGCACAUUUGUCAAAUAAAUGAAUGACAGGAAACCA
ensembl:lncRNA PPIEL peptidylprolyl isomerase E like (pseudogene)